GUGGGCAGAUGAGUCUCAGAUCUACAGUGUAGAGACAUUUGAGAUGAGAGUGCAGAUGGUUGUUAGAGAAUAACUUAUACUGCGCGUGACCAACAUAAGAAAUUACUUAGAUAUCUACUCACUCGUUAGUGGUUGACUCGAUGCUGUAGUAGUGUGAGUGGUCUUUUAACUUACGGUAUCAUCGGCUAUUCGCAGCGAGGCUACUGAGUUUGACUGCAUAUUCUCUUAGUUCCUAGCCAUUCAG
rnacentral:lncRNA from 1 species